rnacentral:rRNA from 1 species
UGGCGAACGGGUGAGUAACACGUGGGUGAUCUGCCUUGCACUCUGGGAUAAGCUUGGGAAACUGGGUCUAAUACCGGAUAGGAACCGUCUUUAGUGUGGUGGUUGGAAAGUUUUUCGGUGCAAGAUGAGCUCGCGGCCUAUCAGCUUGUUGGUGGGGUAAUGGCCUACCAAGGCGUCGACGGGUAGCCGGCCUGAGAGGGUGUACUGCCACAUUGGGACUGAGAUACGGCCCAG